rnacentral:rRNA from 1 species
GAAAGGGCGGGCCAGCGGCGGCGGUGAGGCGAACCGUGUGAACGUUAUUCGGAAUCACUGGGCGUAAAGGGCGGGGAGGGGGGACGGCACGUCGGUCGCUGAAAGCCCCCGGCUCAGCCGGGGAAUGGGCGCCGAUACGACCGCCCUGGAGGGACGUAGGGGGACCUGGAACUUCCGGUGGAGCGGUGAAAUGCGUUGAGAUCGGAAGGAACGCCCGUGGCGAAAGCGAGGUCCUGGACGUCUGCUGACGCUGAGACGCGAAAGCCAGGGGAGCGAACGGGAUUAGAUACCCGAGUAGUC